UNGCCCAUAAUAGGUGCUUGGUAAAAGAGA
rnacentral:piRNA from 1 species